rnacentral:rRNA from 1 species
GCCCAGACUCCUACGGGAGGCAGCAGUGGGGAAUAUUGCACAAUGGGGGGAACCCUGAUGCAGCGACGCCGCGUGGGUGAAGGAGCACCUCGGUGCGUAAAGCCCUAUCGGCAGGGAAGAAAAGCGAACAGGUUCGCCUGGACGGUACCUGACUAAGAAGCCCCGGCUAACUACGUGCCAGCAGCCGCGGUAAUACGGGGGGUGCAAGCGUUGUCCGGAAUCAUUGGGCGUAAAGAGUUCGUAGGUGGCACGUUAAGUCUGGUGUUAAAGGCGGAAGCUCAACUUCCGUAGGGCACUGGAUACUGGCGAGCUUGAAUGCGGUAGAGGUAAAGGGAAUUCCUGGUGUAGCGGUGAAAUGCGUAGAUAUCAGGAGGAACAUCGGUGGCGUAAGCGCUUUACUGGGCCGUAAUUGACACUGAGGAACGAAAGCCGGGGUAGCAAAUGGGAUUAGAUACCCCUGUAC